UACGUAGGGGGCAAGCGUUAUCCGGAUUUACUGGGUGUAAAGGGAGCGUAGACGGAAGAGCAAGUCUGAUGUGAAAGGCAGGGGCCCAACCCCUGGACUGCAUUGGAAACUGCCCAUCUUGAGUGCCGGAGGGGUAAGCGGAAUUCCUAGUGUAGCGGUGAAAUGCGUAGAUAUUAGGAGGAACACCAGUGGCGAAGGCGGCUUACUGGACGGUAACUGACGUUGAGGCUCGAAAGCGUGGGGAGCAAACAGG
rnacentral:rRNA from 1 species